UACGUAGGGUGCGAGCGUUAAUCGGAAUUACUGGGCGUAAAGUGUGCGCAGGCGGCCGCGCAAGUCGAGUGUGAAAGCCCCGGGCUUAACUUGGGAAUUGCGCUCGAAACUACGUGGCUGGAGUGUGGCAGAGGAAGGUGGAAUUCCAGGUGUAGCGGUGAAAUGCGUAGAUAUCAGGAGGAACACCGGUGGUGUAGACGGCUCUCUGGACCGUAACUGACGCUGAGACACGAAAGCGUGGGUAGCAAACAGG
rnacentral:rRNA from 1 species